CAGAGCUUUCUUCAAACUUCGUCGUUGCCUGGACAACUCCUCCUCAAAACAAUUCAAACGAGUGAGGCUGCAAAUCCAGGACAUCCUUGAGGAGAGGUGAUACUUUUCAGGAGAAGAGGAAGGAGUGGCAAGAUAGAUGGACCAAAAGUGAGGAGAGUGAGGCUGUGAAAACUCUUCAGAAUCCACUGCUGUCUUCCCUAGUUUGAUGUCUCUGUGUUCUAGCCUGUUCCCUGCUCUCGUUUCCUGUUUCCUAAACUUACCUGCAUGAAUUCAUGGUAUCUCCUUUGGACUAAUUUUCUGGAUGGCAGCGGACUAACUCCUCCCUUCUCUGACUCUCCUGUGAUCGAACCCUGCUCACCCUCCACCAUGUUCACCUUCCAAGCCGCCCUACAAAGACCCAUCACACUGUGCCAAGCUCACCUUCCUUCUGGACCAACUUCACCCUCCUCUGGCUGAUCCCAGACCCCGCUUAUUCCUCCCUGGUGGUUCAUCAUCUCAUCCCCUUUAAAGACUCAUUCUCUGUUCCUGGUCCUGGAUUCCUGAUUCACUUAUCAAACCAGUUA